GGCGCGUCCCGUGAGGGGGCGACGGGGACAGGGCGGUAAAUGUGCCUUGGGAAGGGGUUUGUGUUGAGGUUCGCUCGUGCAGCGGUGUUUCUUGUGUGCCGUAAGAAUAGGGGUGGACGGGUUGUUGGAGCAGCUCGGCUCUUGGUGGCCCAGAGAAGCUGUGGCUGCCCCGUCACUGGAAGUGUCCAAGGCCAGGUUGGACGGGGCUUGGGAGAGUGGAAGUGUCCCUGCCCAUGGCAGGGGAGUGGAACGAAAUGAGGUUUAAGAUUCUUUUCCACCCAAACCAUCCUGUGAUUAUUUUCUAUAAUUUCUCUUUGCUAUAUAUGAAUUUUCUCUUUUUAUUUUUUACUGAACGUGGCAGCAGGGUUUUGAGCAGAUUUCGUUAGCCCUCACUGUUUUCGUUAAAUAAUAAUACUUAAAAAUAAAACCAUGACACACUGCGUAUGUUCCGUGGGUGUUUUAGGAAGACAUCUUUCUCUGUGAGGGUGGUGAGGCCCUGCACAGGUUUUCCAGAGAAGCUGUGGCUGCCCCUGGAUCCCUGGAAGUGUCCAGGGCCAGGCUGGACAGAGCUUGGAACAACCUGGGACAGUGCAAAGUGUCCCUGUUCAUAGCAGGGGAUGAAAUGAGAUGAGCUUUAAGGUCCCUUCCAACCCAAAUAAUUUUGUGAUUCUGUUUGCAAAGUGCUUUUAAGUUCUUAAUAAUUUCUCCUAUUAUUUUUCUCCUUUGAGUCGCUGUGUGCUGUCAGGUAAGCAAACUAGCAGCCCAGAAUGAAUGAAUUUACUUUCCAGUCCUCCUAGGAACUGAAGGUGUUCCGAGAUGACUCUCAGUGCUGUUCAGGAGGAGUUUUAGUGGCACUGAGGUGCUCUAACACAGGUACUGGAUAGCUCACAUAUGAGGUAUUUAUUGAACAAGGUGUUAUUUACACGUAUCUUUGCUGCAGGCUCCUAUGGACCCUAAGAAAGUAUGAGAACUUAGGGCUUAAAAUAAAUACUUAACCACCUUAAGUGCAUAAGUGCUGGUGGAAGAAUUAUAAAUGGAUGAUGGCAUAAGCCCAGUGGUCAAGAGGAUAAUAAAAUCAUGCAUGUUAUAGAUACUUAGUAAAAAGCUGAAGGUAGUGGUGAAAUAAAAGGUAGCAGGAAGAAUGUAAUUUCUGAUGUAGAGAAAAUGGACUCAAAGGAGGGGUGCAGAGGUGGGGUUUGUGCAAAUACAGGAGUGCCAGAGAUGGCACUAACAGUUGCACAUUGCCUGGAUUAAAGUGGCAGCUUGAGGUUGUUUGUUGAGAAAGCAGAAGACACUCCAAGCUCAUUUUAUGCUGAGUAACUGCACAGGUAGAAUAAUUUUGGGCUGCUGUAGAAAAAGCAUCCUGAUAAGAGCAAAUGCAAUUUUUUAAAGUGUUUUUCUGUGGAUAAAUGUGGUAUUACAUAUUAAAAUGUAAAUUGCUCAGAAAAGAAUGGCAAUUAAAAUUUAGGCUGAUGAUCAACUCAAGGCUGAUUGACCUUGCAGACCCUUGCCAUGUUAAUAAUGUUUGUGGGUCAGGAACCAGAACUGGACCUGGUGUUCCAGGUGAAUUCUUACCAGUACAGCACAGAGUGGAGGGAUUUUUCUUUUCUCUGCUGUCCAGAGUUUGCUUUCUCUGUGGAAAUGUGCACUGUGAGCACAUUUAACCUGGCAUCCAGCAGAACCACAGCUCCUUCCCAGCAGCUCUGAGAUCAUCCUGCUCUUGCUGUUGACCUCCCUGAGGUUUCUGUUGGUGUAGACCUGGAAUUGUUCCAGGUCUCCUCUGCUGUUUGCUGUGUCUGCUCUGGCUGUGUGUUUAACGCUGCCCUCAGAUCUGCUGAGCGUGUUUUCUGUCACAUCACUCACUUUGCUCUUUCAGCUAUCGAGUGAUUCUGGCCCCAGCAGCAGCCCCUGGGGUCACCUGCUGCCCACCAGACAUGGAGGUAUCGAUCCCUGCCUGUGGAGGCUGCUGCUCCUUGCCAUUUUUGAUGUGCAGGCUGUUCCUCCAGCCAGGACUUUGUCAGCUUCCACAGCCAAUGCUGGGAGAGGGGGUGUCAGAACCCUGCUGAAGUCAACAUGUGCUACAGCCACUGCUCUGCAGAGUCAUCAUUUCAGCCUGAAAGGGCAGCUCAGCUGGACAAGCCUUUGCCUUCCUUUGGAUCCCCGUCUCCACUGUCUUCUGGCUGCUGACAGGACUUUCCCUCUGGAGCCCUGUGCUCUCAAGGAGUUGUGUUUCAGUAGAGUGCAGCUCCCCAUCCAGUUUUCCUGUGCUAGGAAGGAUUAUUCCUACAUCCUGCAUAACCUCCUGCUCCAGCUGUGUGUGCUGUGCCAGGUCUCUGAUUCUUGUCACAUCCGAGGUCUGUGACCACACCUGGACAUCCAGGUGAAGAGCUGCAGAACAUUCAGCUCCUUGUCUCUUGGAGAUCCCAUUGAUUUCCUGCUCUCAUCCUGAUGGGAUAAAACAUCCUUGGAGCUCCUUCCUUGUGCUGCAGCAACUCCAUCUGCCACAGCAGAGCUGCCAAAAGUGAGGCUGCUGCUGCCACUGCUGAGAUCCCUGUGGAGGAGCACCAGGCUCUUCCCAGAGUUCAUCUGGAGGGAGGUUGAAGUUCCAGAGAUGUUGGUGCACACUAAGGAUCCAAGAAAAUCAUGUAGUUAGACCUGGAUAAACGCUGGAAGGAGCACAGACAUCAGCAAACAUCACUUACUUUUUUAGUAAGCAAGUUGAGUUUAUCAGCUCUUGUACAAAUUUCAUAAUCUGGGAAUUAGACUUUGUUGUGCAGCUUUCUUUCCUUGCAACAGAGCAUCUGCAUUCAUUUUUUAAAAUUACUUAACAUCCUUGUAUAAUGGUGCAAUAAGAUGUUGUUCUUUAUAAUAAAAACACACAUUAUUUACUGCUUCUAUCUUUCUAGUAUAACUCUACUUUUCAGACUUAAUUUUAGUUUGAUUGCUGCUGAAACAUGGCUGUGUUUUCUGAGUAUGUGAGGAUUUAUUGCUUAUGCUAUUUAAUGAACUAUUUUAUUUUAUGACAGUGGUAGGAGCAGUAGUCAAGGAGCCUAAGAAUGUAGACACUGAGUAACAUAUACAUAUAUAUUACACACACACAAAGAGAGGGUUUUUUCCUGCUAGAUAUCCUGAGGUAGCAAUGUGCAAUAAAUUAAAAGGAUGUUUUUCCUGCCAUUCCCAAUAAGUAAUGUCAGAGAAUAUCUUACACAUCUGGAGUGACUUGACUUUUUUGAGGCAGAGAAAGUUCAGCUCAUGGGUAGAGAGCUUUAGGAUUGUUUAAACCCAUUAGGCCUCUUAGCUUUAUAGCUAAAGAUUAAUAGAGCAGUAAUUACAAAUGUGAAGGAGGUCAUGGUGAAUUUUAGUCUGACCUUCUGUGUAAAAAAAAAAAAAAAAA